UCGGGAAUUUUGGGCAAUGGGGGCAACCCUGACCCAGCAACGCCGCGUGAGGGAUGAAGGCCCUCGGGUCGUAAACCUCUGUCGGGAAGGAAGAACGUUCUGCAGGUGAAUAAUCUGCAGGAUUGACGGUACCUCCAAAGGAAGCACCGGCUAACUCCGUG
rnacentral:rRNA from 1 species